CAUUCAGAAAAGAAAAAAAGAACAAAAGAUUCUCAAGUUUUCUUCAGAAACAUGACUCCAUGCAAGAUUGUAGCGUUCUUCAUGAUCCUCUUCGUCUCCUCUGCCUUGAUUGAGGAGAGCAUGGCGUGUACGAGUAUCAUUGGAUCGUGUGUGGGCAUUAACUGCGAUGCAAAGUGCAAGUGGAGGUACGGCCAAAAGGCCACUAGCUUCUGCGACCCUCAAGGCGCUUGCCACUGCGGCUACCCCUGCCCUGCUCACACCACCACUCCAUGAGCCCUCAAUCUCCUAUAUAUGGAACCCUUCUCUCUCUCUCUCUCUCUCUAUCUAUCUAUAUAUCCAUGUAAAUGACAACAAUGUCAAUCAUAUGUGAUGUUUACCGACAUAAUAAUAUCAAUAAUAAUAAUAUUAAGCAUUUCGUCCUC